rnacentral:rRNA from 1 species
CUUUCUUUGCUGGCGACCGGCGCACGGGUGAGUAACACGUAUCCAACCUGCCCUUUACUCGGGGAUAGCCUUUCGAAAGAAAGAUUAAUACCCGAUAGCAUAAUGAUUCCGCAUGGUUUCAUUAUUAAAGGAUUCCGGUAAAGGAUGGGGAUGCGUUCCAUUAGGUUGUUGGUGAGGUAACGGCUCACCAAGCCUUCGAUGGAUAGGGGUUCUGAGAGGAAGGUCCCCCACAUUGGAACUGAGACACGGACCAA